rnacentral:rRNA from 1 species
CAAUAGCGUAUAUUAAAGUUGUUGCAGUUAAAAAGCUCGUAGUUGGAUUUCGGGGUGGCCUGGCUGGUCCGCCGCAAGGUGAGUACUGGUCAGCCGCCCUUCCUCUCGAAAGCCCCGACUGCUCUUUACUGCAGUGGUCGGGUAGUUCGGGACGUUUACUUUGAAAAAAUUAGAGUGUUCAAGGCAGGCUAUCGCCUGAAUACAUUAGCAUGGAAUAAUGGAAGAGGACCUCGGUCCUAUUUUGUUGGUUUCUAGGGCCGAAGUGAUGAUUAAGAGGGACAGUUGGGGGCAUUCGUAUUUAAUUGUCAGAGGUGAAAUUCUUGGAUUUAUGAAAGACGAACUAGUGCGAAAGCAUUUGCCAAGGAUGUUUUCAUUAA